rnacentral:rRNA from 1 species
GACGAACGCUGGCGGCGUGCCUAAUACAUGCAAGUCGAACGCAGUGGGGACGGGUGAGUAACACGUGGGUAACCUCCCAUCAGAGGGGAUAACACUUGGAAACAGGUGCUAAACCGAUACUGAUGGAUGGACCCGCGGUGCAUUGGCUAGUUGGUGAGGUAACGGCUCAACAAGGCCACGCUGCAUAGCCGACUCGAGAGGGGCAUCGGCAAAACUGUAACUGAGACAAGGCCCAGACUCGUACGUGAGGCAGCAGUAGGGAAUCUGCGGCAAUGGACGAAAGUCUGACCGGGCAACGCCGCGUGAGUGAAGAAGGUUUUCGGAUCGUAAAACUCUGUUGUUAGAGAAGCGGUAUCUAACCAGAAAGCCACGGCUAACUACGUGCCAGCAGCCGCGGUAAUUC